AGAUUGAACGCUGGCGGCAUGCCUAACACAUGCAAGUCGAACGGCAGCGCGGGUAGCAAUACCUGGCGGCGAGUGGCGGACGGGUGAGGAAUACAUAGGAAUCUACCCUGUCGUGGGGGAUAACGUAGGGAAACUUACGCUAAUACCGCAUACGACCGAGAGGUGAAAGCGGCGGACCGCAAGGCGUCGCGCGACUGGAUGAGCCUAUGUCCGAUUAGCUAGUUGGCGGGUAAUGGCCCACCAAGGCGACGAUCCGUAACUGGUCUGAGAGGAUGAUCAGUCACACCGGAACUGAGACGACGGU
rnacentral:rRNA from 1 species